GACGAACGCUGGCGGCGUGCUUAACACAUGCAAGUCGAACGGAAAGGCCCUGCUUUUGUGGGGUGCUCGAGUGGCGAACGGGUGAGUAACACGUGAGUAACCUGCCCUUGACUUUGGGAUAACUUCAGGAAACUGGGGCUAAUACCGGAUAGGAGCUCCUGCUGCAUGGUGGGGGUUGGAAAGUUUCGGCGGUUGGGGAUGGACUCGCGGCUUAUCAGCUUGUUGGUGGGGUAGUGGCUUACCAAGGCUUUGACGGGUAGCCGGCCUGAGAGGGUGACCGGCCACAUUGGGACUGAGAUACGGCCCAGACUCCUACGGGAGGCAGCAGUGGGGAAUAUUGCACAAUGGGCGGAAGCCUGAUGCAGCAACGCCGCGUGCGGGAUGACGGCCUUCAGGUUGUAAACCGCUUUCGCCUGUGACGAAGCGUGAGUGACGGUAAUGGGUAAAGAAGCACCGGCCAACUACGUG
rnacentral:rRNA from 1 species